GCUGUCCUUAGUACGAGAGGACCGGGAUGGACGCACCUCUGGUGUUCCGGUUGUCACGCCAGUGGCACUGCCGGGUAGCUAUGUGCGGACGGGAUAACCGCUGAAAGCAUCUAAGCGGGAAGCCCCCCCCAAGACUAGAUCUCCCUGGGAAUUCAAUUCCCCUAAAGGGCCCAAGUAGACUACUUGGUUGAUAGGCCGGGUGUGUAAGGCCAGUAAUGGCUUCAGCUAACCGGUACUAAUUGCCCGUGAGACUUGACCAU
rnacentral:rRNA from 1 species